CCUGACCCUAGAGGCAUUGCAGGUGUGGCUGUUGUGUACGUAUGAAUCAGUAGGUGGCAGGGAGGAGAGGCUCUGUCUAUGCUCGGUGUUCUGACCUAUUGUGAUGGUUUGUAUUUACUCGGCCCAGGGAGUGGCACAAC
ensembl:snoRNA Gm26490 predicted gene, 26490